rnacentral:tRNA from 1 species
UGAAUCUUAAGUUAAGAAAACUAGAAAUCUUCCAAAUUUCCAAUAAGUUAAUCUUAGAUUUAA